rnacentral:rRNA from 1 species
GAUGAACGCUGGCGGCGUGCCUAAUACAUGCAAGUCGAGCGAACAGACGAGGAGCUUGCUCCUCUGACGUUAGCGGCGGACGGGAGAGUAACACGUGGAUAACCUACCUAUAAGACUGGGAUAACUUCGGGAAACCGGAGCUAAUACCGGAUAAUAUAUUGAACCGCAUGGUUCAAUAGUGAAAGACGGUUUUGCUGUAACUUCUAGAUGGAUCCGCGCCGCAUUAGCUAGUUGGUAAGGUAACGGCUUACCAAGGCAACGAUGCGUAGCCGACCUGAGAGGGUGAUCGGCCGCACUGGAACUGAGACACGGUCCAGACUCCUACGGGAGGCAGCAGUAGGGAAUCUUCCGCAGUGGGCGAAAGCCUGACGGAGCAGCGCCGCGUGAGUGAUGAAGGUCUUCGGAUCGUAAAACUCUGUUAUUAGGGAAGAACAAAUGUGUAAGUAACUAUGCACGUCUUGACGGUACCUAAUCAGAAAGCCACGGCUAACUACGUG